CCUACGGGAGGCAGCAGUGAGGAAUAUUGGACAAUGGGUGAGAGCCUGAUCCAGCCAUCCCGCGUGAAGGAUGACGGUCCUAUGGAUUGUAAACUUCUUUUGUACAGGGAUAAACCUACCCUCGUAAGGGUAGCUGAAGGUACUGUACGAAUAAGCACCGGCUAACUCCGUGCCAGCAGCCGCGGUAAU
rnacentral:rRNA from 1 species